UUUUUUUUUUUUUUCUUGCAGGGUGCCUGGUCUUUCCUCUAAAACAGCUGAUGCUGACCACUCUUAGAGACAUGCUCCCAGAUGAGCUCGUUUGAUCCACUAUACCCAGCAAGCCCCAUGCUCUAUCUAUCCAGGUCAUUGGUAACUUUUAGGUGCCUCAAGCCAGCUUCGGGGGACAGUGGUUGAGCAGCUCCCUAAUUUUGCAGAGAUCUGUACUUAGGAAGCCCCAGAGAGCUGGAAACAGGAGCUGAGGUGACCUGCUUAGCGGGCUACUGGUGUGUUUGCAAGACACACUGCAGGAGCGAUGAAAACUUCCAAAGGCAAUGACACAAGAAAGAAGGAAGGAAGGAAUAGGCCACCAAGCACCAUUGCCACGACUGAAAUCGCUAGACGUUAUCUGAGAAAUAUGACGCUACUUAGCCAAAUAGGGGUAAUACCAUAUUCUUCCAAGUCCCUGCAGCCGACUCUGUCAAGACAAGCCUCGCAUGACAAAUUCACUUGCCCUGCCGCGGCGCUUGCCUGGAUGGCUAAUUUAUCUAAAAAAUUGAGAUGCACAACUUUUGCCUCCCCUGCUUCGGAUGGGAAGUUGUUUUUCUGUUCCCUCCAGCCCUGGGAUGAAUACAUCUUGUCGGACGGGAUUAUUUCCUUCAGCCGCCCCAGCUCUACCCACAGCCGCUGCUCUUCAUUUGCCUUUUUUUUUUAAUGUUAUAACAACGAUUGCAAACACAUCUGGACAGGGAGGUGGGCAUGCAAAAUGAAGGAUUUUUCCAUUGGUGCAAGUCUGCUGCUUCUCUGAAUGUAGGAUCUGCUUUCCGGGUUGGUUUAUUAAUUUCUAUUUCUAUUCACUUUGACACUGGCUAGCCUAUUUCAUGAUUUUCAGGACGCUAAAUAAUAAUAAGCACCCUCA